GCACCCGUCGGUUAGAGCGUGGGUCUAAUAAGCCCAAGGUCGCAGGUUCGACCCCUGCUGGCGGCA
rfam:Strongyloides papillosus strain LIN genome assembly, scaffold: SPAL_contig0000648